AACAUAUUGAAAUUCAUACCGAUUCCUUGUGGCAAAUUUUCAUAAGGCGUUUGAUUGAAAAUCAUACGUCCAUUUUCCUCAGUGGUUGAAAACUAUCAGUACUGGCACAUAAAAUUUAAAAGAGAACAGUAAGAGACUUUUUCGUAACAACAUGGUGGACUGCUGGCGGCACGCGGAAAUUUUCCUCUGGUGAUGAAUUUCGUUUAAACUCAUGUUAUGGAUGUGUAUAUGCGAAACGAAUGCUGGACGUAAACAUCAACAAGUUUCUGCUGUGCCAACGGGUGCUCAAGAAUCACCAUUUCGGCUGAUCAACAAUCCCUCCAUUUUCCCAGCCAUUUUCCCACAACGCGACGCAGCGGUCAUUGAUUUGUGUCAAUUAUGAUGGUGAAACGAUUUUUCUCAUAAUAGUUUUGGUGAAAAACAUACAGGCAAUAAUUCCGUACAUCAAUCCAUAGGAGUAAUAUCUGGCAUUCACUUUGCUCACAAACAUUACAUGGCAAUGAUGGCACGAAGAGGUUGUGCGAUUGAGGACCAUUUGCAAAUUACGUAACGUUCUAGAGGUUGAAGGGGGUCAAUCGGAGGAAGGAAAAACAACUUUUCAAUAUGCUAAAUUCCUGUGAGUGAGUUGGGGUCAAAAAUAACAAAUUUGUAGCGUUACGUAAUUUAAAAAACUCCGACGACAGCGGUGUUUUUUAGAACUGUCGCUACUGUUAAUCUCUGGGAAAUGAUCUGCAUUGCAAAAAGUUGUUAAGACAUCGCAUUAUGAUUAUCGAUACAUUUUUCUACCAGGAAAUAAACAUUUAUUUAUAAUCAAA